AUGCUAACCAGCUCAUCUCUGCUAGCACGCACGACCUGACUCCCUCGGCUCCUCCCACAUUUCGUGCUUCAAUCUAUGACAUGCAGGGCCCGCUACACAGCCUCUCAGCCGCGCGCGCCUGUGUUGGCUUAGUCACCGCUGGGUGGGACCGCUGGGUCAGGUCCGUCAUCAAGCUUCCAGCUCCCGGCGCAGCGGUUGCAACGGAAUUUGGAGAUCCCGGGGUGGCAAAUCUCAUCCGCGUGCGCUACGGACCUAAGUACCGACCCCGCCGUCGUGACUCAACCAGGAGAGCAUCAACACCGUGAGGGAGUCAGGGGGAGCUAUGAGGUCUGCCGAUCGGGUGCCGCCGCCGUGGGAUUCCCAUCAGCGUGCGUCUUCGUUCAACCAUCUCGGGGUGGUGGAGCGGGUUAGACAGUGAGUUCGGAUCGUGUGCAAGGUCAACAGGGCAAGGAAGAUGCGAAGGAUUGCUCCUCGGAGCGAUUAGUGGCCGGGGGAUCCGGGAUUGCUCGUCGUGGUCCCUCCAACGCCGUAGAUAACCCUGUACCGUGGCCAGAAGUUUCUAUCGCGCCACUGUCGACGAGCAAGUGACCAAGGAGCCCGGAGCACAACAGGUUGAAGAAUCUGAGCAGGAGCUCACUGAAGGCAAGUUGUGCUCUUGACCACUCUUCUUUACCUAAUAAUAUUCCUGAUAAUCACUAUGACCUGCUCAGGUUAAUUUGAUGGGACAUGUUGGGGGUCUCCUUCUCUACCGAAGGUCCUCAGAAUGAAGGAAAUCAUUUUUGAUUUAUCUUAACAGAUAUGUCGAAGGACAGUAUAGCAGUGAAGCAAGGAACACAAAGAAUGCAACAGAGCUUUGACAAGAAUCAGGGCUUCGGCUUAAGAUGGUCCUGAAGGUCAUAUAAGAAAUUAAAUCAAUAGUGAAAAGACCCAUUUACCCUUAGCACCCGUAUUAGAACAAUGUAUAGAUAUCAAGGUCAUAAUUGUUCUUUUGCUUGGGCUGUGUCCCAUGCCUAUAAAUAGAGUACUGUUCAUGCUUUCAUCGAAAUCCAUUCUCACAUUAUCUCCUUCGAGUAAGCCAAAGGUACUAAUGUAAUGUAAUGCUUGUAAUAUUUCAUUAGCAUGUAAUUUAGAUUAUGACAUCAUUCUCACAUGCAAAGUGAAAUAAAUAUGUAAUAUAAUAUUA